CCUGGUUCGUGUCUGGGACAACCAAACCUGCUGUGGGAGGAACAAAUUAUCUGAAAAGAUCUCAGGAAAUGUGAAAACAAUAAUUAUUCACUUGAAAAUAGCAGUUCUGGGACACUUGAUCUCCACAUCUUGUUAGAAAAUGAGGCUCUGGCAGACUGACACCUUUCAAAACACAGAGCUUGGAGGGAAGCAGGCUGGGAAAUGCCCCGUGUGGCAAGGUAACACUUUCCUCUGUGCCAUGCUCACCCAAACCGGCCCAGCUACGGCAUCCCAUCCCCUCGGCAGUCACCGUGCCAGCUCCUCCACCGAAAUGCCGAGGCACCGGGUGCCGUCAGCACCUGGGAGUCGUGGGGCUUCAACUGAAGCGGUUGUCGAGCAGCCAGGGAGACACGCAGGAGGCAGCAGCCUUGAAGUGCAAUUUGCAUUUUAAUAAAUCUGCUGGAGCAUCCCGGAGUCCUCUGUGGUGCCAACACCAUCUGAGCAUCCCUGGAAUGAGGAGGCAGAGUGGAGGAAGCAAAAGGAGAUGAAGGGAUUUGCAUGGGCAUCGUAGAAGGGGACCCUAAGCAGAAGCAAGUAGGUGCAAGGGUGCCCAAACCUGGCUGAAAGUGGGCAACAGUAGCAGCGCGAAACAUUGGUAGUGCAGACAAAGUAAGGAAAUUCUGAACUUUUAAAACUGUUUUAGAUAAACUGAAGUAUCCUGGUUUUUAACAAAUUUGAAGCUUUCAACUUGUUUUCGUGCUAAAACCAAUCAUGCUCCAGCACAAAACACAAGGUCUUGGAAAGCAAUGGCACUUGUGACAGCAAACAAGAAGGAGAUGUUCUGUUCAGAGCAUACUGGAAAGCUUCUCUGUGUCCGAACAUAAUGAACUUUUACUGCUGUUGAGAAGUUUCUGUAAAAAGCUGUUUUCUGACACAAUAAUAUUGGACCGGAGGCCUGUUUUGCUGAGUCUCCAGGUGACGGAGCUGAAGUUCUGCCUCCUGAGCCCACCUGCAGCAUCGUCUGCCCUCCCCAUCACCCAGGGGUGCCCGGGUCCCCCCUGCAUCCUGAGGAGAGCACUCUGCAAGGUGCUGUUUGCUUGCAGUCGCUUUUAUUUGCACGCAGUAGGGAAGUAGAGAUAAGGAUCCUUGCUCGCAGUUUUCCUCUUCACCAACCUCUCGGACAGGAAUCCUACCUCCCCAUCCAAUAAGCUGGGACAGAAGGAAGAGGAAAUCCCCUGUGAGUGAUCGCUUCUGGGUUUGAAGAUGACAGACAUGGAUUUGGGGCCUCUGAAGGGAUUUGGAAGGACAGAGUCCAAACAUCCAUCUGGCCGUGAGCUCGCCACCGUUGCCCAAUCUUCCAAACGCCUCCGGCCUUGGCACCUCUGAAAACAAGGCAUUUUUUUUGUGACAGGCGCGUGGGAUGGAAAAUUAUUGUUUGCGUUCAACAGAAGCUGGAGAUCAGAUGCUCUGAGCCGUAAAAACCAGCCUCAUCGCUCAGGGCAGUGCUGGCAGAGGGAAAAGGGAUCGCAAAAGCAUCUUCUGAAAGGAUUCAGGAGUCUGAGACUGGAAAAUCUCCUGUACCUGUGGGUUUGUGCUCAAAACAUCUGCAAAAACGGAGCUGGUACCCUGGAAGAGGAAGGUGUGCUGCACCACGCUGGACUGAUGCUGGACUCCUGAGAGCCACUUGAGUCACGAAACCCCUGGAAGAAGCAGAAAGAGGCUGAGAGCACUGAAGGCUCUUGCUUGGGCAGACUGCAAAGGUCGGGAGUGUUUGCAAUGC